GGCCCGCCGGGGUUCCUGGCGAUGCGAUUUUUUUACCCGCUGACCCAAAAUCACAUUGCCAGGGAUUUCCAACGGGCC
rnacentral:pre_miRNA from 1 species